rnacentral:rRNA from 1 species
AGUAAGGAAUAUUGGUCAAUGGACGCAAGUCUGAACCAGCCAUGCCGCGUGGAGGAUGAAGGUCCUCUGGAUUGUAAACUUCUUUUAUCUGGGAAGAAAUCCAUGGUUUCUACUGUGGUUGACGGUACCAGAUGAAUAAGCACCGGCUAACUCCGUGCCAGCAGCCGCGGUAAUACGGAGGGUGCAAGCGUUAUCCGGAUUCACUGGGUUUAAAGGGUGCGUAGGUGGGCAGGUAAGUCAGUGGUGAAAUCUCCGGGCUUAACCCGGAAACUGCCGUUGAUACUAUCUGUCUUGAAUAUAGUGGAGGUGAGCGGAAUAUGUCAUGUAGCGGUGAAAUGCUUAGAUAUGACAUAGAACACCCAUUGCGAAGGCAGCUCGCUACACUAUUAUUGACGCUGAGGCACGAAAGCGUGGGGAUCAAA